GGCGGUUGAGGGAGAAUAGUCACUGCCGGAGAAAUCCUACUUUUUGAAGAAUUACUUACUUCUCUGUCAUCCCUAUCCCAAACAAUUGGAGAAAACUUCCUCUUCUUCUCCACAGGAGUCCGUAUGCCAUUCUCUAUACUACCUUUGAAGCUUCACUAUCUUGAUUGACCAGUGAUUCAGACUCAAUUGCAUCAUCGGAC
rnacentral:misc_RNA from 1 species